rnacentral:SRP_RNA from 1 species
CCGGAAGGCUGGCGGACGCGCUUCUCGCCAACCUGGUCAGGUCCGGAAGGAAGCAGCCACAACGAGUUUCCGCGCGGGUCGUUUCAGCCUUCCACCCU